ensembl:lncRNA
CUUUCUGCUCUGGGGGAACCAAGUGCUCCAGCGUUCCCAGCGCCAUUGCAGGCCUAGGUCUGACUUGUAGCUCACUGCUUUCGCAACUGGCCGUUUGCAGUUAACAGUAUAUCUUGGAAAUCAUUCCAUAUCCGUUCUUAAGGUACCUCUUAAUUGCUAUUCAUGGCUAUCUAGUAUUCCAUUGUAUGGCUAUUUCAUAAUUUGUUUACAUUUUUCACAGGUGCAAAUGUAUUUGGGGAGCUGAUUUUAGGGAUCUCUCUUUAACACCAAAAGUUUUCACAGAUCCCCAUGAAGAAGACUUGAUAUUACCAAAGACGUCCUGAAUUCAGGAAUAGUUUAAGGCCGCCAGGCUUCUCUGUCCAUGGAAUUCUCCAGGCAGGAAUACUGGAGUGGAUAGCUAUUCCCUUCUCCAGAGGAUCUUCCAGACCAAGGGAUUGGACCUGCGUCUCCUGUGUCUCCUGCAUUGAAUCAACAUUCUUCCUUCAAAGUCCCUCUCAACACCUCUUUCCAUGGGUCGUCAAGCUGACCAUUUCCUCAGUCAUCUGAGCGCCAACCUAGGGCUUCAUGGAUUCCCCCUGCAGCUUCUUCAUCUCUAACCGGAGGAUGUUUUCUUUCAGCUGCAUCUUGCCAUCUGUCCCUUGCCCUCCAUUCUCUGAGGAUCUCUUUGUGAUCAUCCUCCCUGGAUUCCUUCUUGAGGACCAGCCUCUUGGGCUUUGAGGCCCCUCUUUCUGCACCAGCUUCAUCAAGGUUGACUCACUGCCAUCUGCAUAUUUAAACAAAACUGCUGCCCCCCACCCCAGCCCCGCAGACAGUCAUGUUGUAAGCUUGGGACUUUCUCCCUGCUCAUCCAAACCUUACCUGUACUUUUAGGUGCACUGUGCAGGAAGCCUUGUUAGAAGAGUCCAGCCCUCUCCCUCUCUUAGUCCUGGAGCAUUGUCAGGAAUCUCAUACCCCUGAACAGACUACAAGCUGCUGGAGGGCAGGCUUCAGUCAGAAUGUUCCUGCUGCCUUGGCGCAGGGCCAGCACACAUCAGAUGCUCAGUUAAUGUCUGUGGAGUCAGUGCACGGUGGCAUUCCCAAAGACUUACCUCCAGCUGCACCUCUCCCGCUCACUUGCCAUAACCCUCCCUGCACAACCUCCAGCUCCCACCAACCAGGGGCAAGAGGGAAAACAAAACAGGUGUAAAAAAAAAAAAAAAAAAAGGCGGAGCGCACUGAAAUAUAAGAAGCCACUUCUAGGAUCG